GACGUAGGGCGCGAGCGUUGUCCGGAUUUAUUGGGCGUAAAGAGCUCGUAGGCGGCUUGUUGCGUCGACUGUGAAAACCCGCGGCUUAACUGCGGGCUUGCAGUUGAUACGGGCAGGCUAGAGUUCGGUAGGGGAGACUGGAAUUCCUGGUGUAGCGGUGAAAUGCGUAGAUAUCGUAAGGAAGACCAGUGGCGAAGGCGGGUCUCUGGACAGUUCCUGGCGCUGAGGCACGAAGGCCAGGGGAGCAAACGGG
rnacentral:rRNA from 1 species